UGGAGUUCAGACGUGUGCUCUGUAACUCAGAUCCACUGAUUCAUUUCUGACUUGUAAAUAGCAAAACCAUUUGUUACUCAGUUUUCACAGACAGCAAAAUGCGUCAGUCUGUUACACACUGUAAGUCAGCUGUCAAUAAGAACUUCUGAAACAGCCCAUCUUCACUUACUGGAUAGUAAAUAACUACUGAAAACGAAAUGCUUGCUUUUCAAGUUAGCUGAGAAAAAAGAGAACAAAAACCAAAUCUGAAUAUUAGCCCCCUCCAUGGAGACUCUUUUUUGUGCUGGCAUUCAACAAACUUUUUGUAUAUUACUUUUAUUCUGGCAUCAUUCACUACAUCACCAUUAGCUUUGUGUUCUGGAUAGUGUGGUUAAAUUACUGUGAAUGCUAUAGUUAAAUUAUUAAAGUUGCCUUAGUUGCUAAUCCAGUGUUGACUGCCAGUUACCUUGGAGUGUGUAGCUGGUUACAGUUCACUGCCUUUUGUCCCCAUCUUCCCAGGGUACUAUCUCUAACCAAUUACCAAGUCUGAUGCUUUCUUGUAGUUCUUGCUAGUUAUUAGGCAGCUCUCUUAGCUUUCCCUUUGGCAUCAUGGCAACAGUGCUAACGAAAAGUGCCUGGAUUGGACCUGGAAAAUGAAAGCUAUAUUUUUACGCACAGAGCAAGCACAGCUCAGUCUGCAGCACAGUAGGCUUCCCCACUUUACUGUGUCAAACUUUGGCCAAGACGCCAAAGUGGACUAAUUAAUGCUAAUUCUGUUGCUGUCACCUACACCCAGGGA